rnacentral:lncRNA from 1 species
GAUCUUUAAGGAAUUAGAGCGACUGGUGGGGUUCAGAAGGAUAUGAUAUUUAUUAAUUCGAGAGACAGAGAGAUAAGAGAGAAUGAGAGACACACACACACACAGACAUACAGCAGUGGCACAGAAACACACAGCCCCAGGCAACCCCUGAGGCUUUGGGGUUCUGCUCUCCACGAGAUCGAUGCUGGGAUGAGACAGGAGCCUAUGGAUACACAGGCAGACCUGUCCUCAAGAUCAUGGCCUGCACGAGUUUUGGGGAGACUCACCCGAUCCCUGCCUGUAAUCCCAGCACUUCAGGAGGUUGAGGCCAGCGGAUCACCUGAGGUCAGGAGUUCUAGACCAGACUGACCAACAUGGUGAAACCCUGUCUCUACUAAACAUACAAAAUUAGCCAGGCAUGGUGCAUCGUAAAGCUGAGUAGUUUUAGCUUAGGAGGAGGGUGGGAAGGUUGGGGGGCUGUGAAGAUUUGGGGGACAUUGAGAGAGAACUUUAUAAGCUUCUUUCUCUUUAAUAAACACUUGUCUUACA